rnacentral:rRNA from 1 species
UUAGAGACAGGUGCUGCACGGCUGUCGUCAGCUCGUGUCGUGAGAUGUUGGGUUAAGUCCCGCAACGAGCGCAACCCACGUAUUUAGUUGCUAACGGUUCGGCCGAGCACUCUAAAUAGACUGCCUUCGUAAGGAGGAGGAAGGUGUGGACGACGUCAAGUCAUCAUGGCCCUUAUGCCCAGGGCGACACACGUGCUACAAUGGCAUAUACAAUGAGACGCAAUACCGCGAGGUGGAGCAAAUCUAUAAAAUAUGUCCCAGUUCGGAUUGUUCUCUGCAACUCGAGAGCAUGAAGCCGGAAUCGCUAGUAAUCGUAGAUCAGCCAUGCUACGGUGAAUACGUUCCCGGGUCUUGUACUCACCGCCCGUCACACCAUGGGAGUUGAUUUCACUCGAAGCCGGAAUACUAAACUAGUUACCGUCCACAGUGGAAUCAGCGACUGGGGUGAAGUCGUAACAAGGUAACCGUAGGAGAACCUGCGGUUGGAUCACCUCCUUU